CCUUCCAGACUCCUACGGGAGGCAGCAGUGGGGAAUAUUGCACAAUGGGCGGAAGCCUGAUGCAGCAACGCCGCGUGCGGGAUGACGGCCUUCGGGUUGUAAACCGCUUUCGCCUGUGACGAGGCGUGAGUGACGGUAAUGGGUAAAGAAGCACCGGCUAACUACGUGCCAACAGCCGCGGUGAUACGUAGGGUGCGAGCGUUGUCCGGAUUUAUUGGGCGUAAAGGGCUCGUAGGUGGUUGAUCGCGUCGGAAGUGUAAUC
rnacentral:rRNA from 1 species